rnacentral:rRNA from 1 species
UACGUAGGGUGCAAGCGUUGUCCGGAUUUAUUGGGCGUAAAGAGCUCGUAGGCGGCUUGGCAAGUCGGGUGUGAAAACUCCAGGCUCAACCUGGAGACGCCACCCGAUACUGCCAUGGCUUAAGUCCGGUAGGGGACCACGGAAUUCCUGGUGUAGCGGUGAAAUGCGCAGAUAUCAGGAGGAACACCGGUGGCGAAGGCGGUGGUCUGGGCCGGCACUGACGCUGAGGAGCGAAAGCGUGGGGAGCGAACAGG